ensembl:lncRNA
AUUGCAUUGCACUGUGUGCAUGUUGAAAAAUGACAAAGGUGUACCCAGUGCAUCAUGAUGUAAAGCACAUAAGACGUGGCCAAGCCUGUGUGUGUGUGGUAGAAGCAAUUCAGUAUUCAUCUCCUUUUUUAGUCCUUCUUCCUGAGGCAAGCACUGCUGUGUCAUUUGAAAGUAUUGCACUGAAGCACAGCAGUAAAGUUGCACAGUGUAAAAGCAAAACAAUAAGCUAAAAGAUGCAAAGAAGCUAAGAUAAAAUUGAUAUAUCAGAACAUAUUUGUCACGGACCUGAGUCAAUUGACAGAGUGGUUUUAAUUGUUUGCAUUUUUAAGUUUUGUUGGUUUUCUUAUUUUUUUUAUAUUGUUUUACGUAUUUUUUCCCUUCAGUGUUUUCAGCCCUGUUCUUAGUUCCUAGUUACUUUGGAGUUUGAUUUUUCCCUCAGUGUUCCAUGUUUUUGUGUCAAUUUCUGAAGUUCAUUCAUGUGUCUGUGUUUAUCUCCGUUUACUUAUCUCACUUCCUGCUUCAGUCUGAGAGUUAGCUGUUCCUUGUGCCUAGCUUUUACUUUUCCUUCCCUGGUCUCAUCCUCUGUGCUUUAGUCCAGCUGUGUCUUGUCUCCCCCAGCUGUCUCCACUUCCCUGAUUGCCACUCUUUAUGUAUAUGUAUAAUGCUGUUCUCCCAUCAGUCCUCUAUCAGAGCAUCUGUUCAUCUUGCUCCAGUGUUUCUUAGCCCCAGUGUGUUUUCAAGCUUUAUGUUUCAGUAGUUUAUAGUUUUCAGUUCCUUUGUGGACCUUGUCCUUUUGCCUUUUUGGAUUCCUUGCCAACAGCCUAAAUAACCUAAAUACCUUUUGUUAAUUCUUGCCUGCAUUUGGGUCCUCCACACUACACUGAGUCAGCAUAAUAUGCAAACUAUGACAAUAUUAUUUAUUUGCUGAUAUAUCAGCAUUAACAUUUGUAGAAAUAAAAUUCAUAUAAAUGAAAAAUGUUAAAAAUGUAACACCCUUCAACCACGUUGCAUAGUUCGUCCAGCUCUGCAGAUUCCCUGUUGGCAACACGUGUUUGAUACGCCACGAACACAAACAUCUGAGCCAGGUC